rnacentral:misc_RNA from 2 species
AACGCACAUUGCGCCCCUUGGUAUUCCGGGGGGCAUGCCUGUUCGAGCGUCAUUUCAACCCUCAAGCCUAGCUUGGUCUUGGGCUCUGCCGGCAACGGCUGGCCUUAAAAUCAGUGGCGGUGCCAUCGAGCUCUACGCGUAGUAAUUAAACCCUCGCGUGUGAGUCCCGGUGGACGCUUGCCAGCAACCCCUAAUUUUCUAUGGUUGACCUCGGAUCAGGUAGGGAUACCCGCUGAACUUAA